UGAGAUAGCUCAGUUGGUAGAGCAUGAGACUUCAUCUCAGGGUUGUGGGUUCAAGCCCCACAUACAGCAAAA